rnacentral:tRNA from 1 species
GGGGUUGUGGUUCAGUGGUAGAGCGCUUGCCUGGCAUGUGUGAGGCACUGGGUUCAAUUCUCAGCACCA